GUGGAUGUCGGUUUAGUAAUAAAAUCGAUGAGCAAAGCAUUAGGUGUGUUUCCACGGCCCAUAUUCCAAUUCCGAUGUCCCCUUUUCUAGUGCGUACAUACAAGCAAGGGAAGAAUUAUCAGCGUACUGAAGAGAUUUCUAAACUCAAAAUCACAGUUUUUUUUUUCUUGUUUCGUACUUCAGAAUCAGCAUCUAUAUUUUGCAGCUCAUCAAUUCUUUCUUCUUCAGGUAGCCAGCGACUAGACAGCUUUGGAUGAUAUACUGAUGGCACUUCUUCCUACGUCAUCUUUUGGAUUGUCGUCAGAGUCCUUGGAACAAAGUGGGAAGCAGAUGGCAAACACAAACACGAAAGCACUAACACCUCUCUCUCUGCAAAGCUCAAAUUCUUCACAGGGACCGGUGGCAAUUCUUUGGGACAUCGAGAACUGUCCUGUUCCAAGUGAUGUACGCCCUGAGGAUGUUGCUGGCAACAUCAGAAUGGCUCUACGGGUACAUCCUGUGAUCAAAGGAGCAGUUACAAUGUUUUCUGCCUUUGGAGAUUUUAAUGCUUUUCCUAGGCGAUUAAGAGAGGGCUGCCAGAGAACUGGUGUUAAACUUAUAGAUGUCCCCAAUGGCAGGAAAGAUGCAGCCGACAAGGCCAUCUUGGUUGACAUGUUCCUUUUUGCUCUUGACAAUCCCCCACCCUCGUCCAUUAUGCUAAUAUCAGGAGAUGUUGAUUUUGCUCCCGCACUUCACAUUCUUGGUCAACGUGGAUAUACUAUGAUCCUUGUCAUUCCUGCAGGGGUUGGUGUUUCGUCUGCUCUAUGUAAUGCUGGGAGGUUUGUAUGGGACUGGCCAAGUGUGGCUCGAGGUGAAGGUUUUGUGCCCCCGGCAAAGGCCUUCAUUCCUUGUCGUGGUGGUGGUGUCUCAGACAUUGCUGGGAUUCUAAUGGGUUGCUGCCAGAUAAAUGACAGCCCAUAUGGUCAGAAUGAAGAUGAAGCAAUAGUGUAUAGGGGCCUCUCACAGAGCUACUAUAAUGCAAGGGAUUUCUCAAUAAUAUCACAUUCGCUGGCUGAGUAUAAUAGCACUUCAAUUUCCACGCCAUGUUAUCCUACGGGUAUGAGAACUCAGAGUCUUCCACCUGGUUUAAAUGAAGUUUCAGCUGGAGGUCCAUCUUCACAUGACCAGAGUGACUUGACGUGGGUGCAGCCUGGGGAUGUAAAUGGUUUGAAGGGUCAGCUGGUGAAGCUGCUUGAAUUAUCUGGGGGCUGCUUGCUUCUUACACGUGUUCCUGCAGAAUACCAGAGAAUUUACGGGAGGCCACUGUAUGUUUCAGAAUAUGGGGCAGUUAAGCUCGUGAAUCUUUUCAAGAAGAUGAGUGAUGCAAUAUCUAUCGGGGGGAAAGGCCAAAAGAAGUUUGUCUACCUCCAUAAUUCAUGUGCUGUACCAAGUGCUCCUCCCAUAACUAUAUUAAAGAGGGAUAAAGGAAAAGGAACACAAGAGGGAAAUGCCGAAGUUGUGACUGGGGUUGGAUCUUCGGAUGAGUUCUCGGAUGAUGAAAGAGUACUCAUAGAAGAGCAUGGAAGCAGUCGUGAGAAAUCUGAUAUGGGUGCAACAGUUGAAAAAAGUCUUGAAAAUUUCAAGUUUGAGCUUCAAGAGAUACUUGUGAGCUACUCUUGUCGGAUUUUUCUUGGUUGCUUUGAGGCAAUAUAUCAACAAAGGUACAAGAGGCAACUAGACUAUGAGAGCUUUGGGGUGGCUGAACUUGAGCAGCUACUAGCAAAGGUGAAAGAUGUAGUGAUUGUGCAAGAGGAGCCAGUUAGCAAGAGGAAGUUUCUGGCUGCUGUUGGUGGCUAGAAGUGUUUGUCAUUUCAUUUCCUGACUAUUUACUAUCUUAACUCCUUGGGACUUGAGAGGUUCCAAUGUAACACCAGAAUGCUGAAACUGAUCUAACCACAGAUCUCUGUGUAUAUUUACCUCUCGCUGCUUUCAUCUAAAUACAUGGUCGAAGGUUAAAUUAUUCAAGCUAGUCUGUGUGGGAGGUGCCUUUUUUUCUCUCAUCGUGGUAAAGCAGAAUUUUCAUUAUAGGAUUUUUUUUUUUAGUAGUAACUUGGAUCUGAAUUUUGCUUCUAAAUUCAGUGAGAUGCAUUUCUCUCCUCAUUUCCUUCCCAAGUCUAUGAAAUAGUCAAAGUUUUUCUCAAGUGUAUUUGCUGUGAGAAAGCUUUUCUUGAGCCGAGGGUCAACUUUUCUAUCUUCACAAGGUUUAGGGGUAAGGUUUGCGUACACACUAUCUUCCCUAGACCCCUCUCAAGUGUAUUUGCUGUGAGAGUGUUGAACACUCUUAGCUCAUCUCAUGGUUCUUGCAAACUCUCUGCAGCAAAGAGACUGUUAUCGAAGGUAAGCAAUCUGGCUGUUCAAUUUUGAAACUUUGAGUAAACUGAGUUAGGUUCCUAAGGAACAACUGCUUAACCAUUAUCUUUCACGUAUAAAGAAUACUUUUUUCUUAAAAAAGAGCUGGAAUUUUAGAUUACUUUUUUUCCAAAAGAAUUCUGAAUGUGCUCUCUCUUGGACUCUCUUUUACAAACAAUUGUAACUUUCAAGCCCAACCUGAAGCUGCAUCCUGGAAGGGUUUCAUUGGAAUCACCGAUCACGUCAACUUACUUCCGUUUUAAGUUAAUUAUGACUGGGCUGCUGUACUCAUUUUGAUUUAAGACCUUUUUCUUUUAUAUUAUGUUUUAUCAUCUUAGUAGCCUUUAUAUUUUCUAGACAGUAAAGAACAAUACUUACCAGUUUGAUUGAGUCAAGUUGUUGGGAGUAGUGAAACUCUACCUCUUCGUGAAGGCUCUUAAGAUUACCGGGGGAAGAGAUGCAAGAACCAUAUCUAGCAUGCUCCAAAAAGUUCUUGGUAAAUUUUUUACUAUUACAGGGGGUGGGGGGUGGCGGCUAACUAGUUUGAUUAAGCUGUUCCUCUUGGGUGUUUGCCAUAUGGUGAGAGGUCAAUGAGAAGGUGGAGAUACCAAAAUCAAUUAGCAACAUUUCUCGAGGCAUAUGAAUCCGUUUUUCCAUUUUUUUUAUUUGGUAUAUUCUGAUUGUUGAGCACUAUGAAAGGACAAUGUGGAUGUAUUCACCUGCUAAGGAAAGAAGUGAGCUUUCAUGAUGGAAAGCAUUGCAUGCUGGCCGUGUGGCUGAUUCACAGUUGCAUGCCCAAUUUAUGUCUUGGUGUAUCUUACUACUAAUGUGAAAUUCUUAAUAUUACUUUUAGUCCCUUCUUAGUUACAUCUGACAAUGUUAUCUUAUCUGCCAUUGGCAUUUCCAGCUUAAGCCUUGUGCAUUGGAGGGAUGUUGAAGUUAUAGAAGACCUCUCCAUUCUAAUGCUUCCAUGAUGGUGUCAAUUAUGGCAGGCCAGUCUUGCAAAAGCAGAUUUUUUGUCACUUCUUUCAAUUAGGUGACGGUUUGUGUACCGUAUUGAAGCUCCUGCAGAAGUCUGUAAUGGCAAGGAUAGUAAACUUUGGUUUGGGAAAUACGUGAAGGGUAAAGGUCCCAAAUGUGAUCGAUAGCUUACCUCGUAUUACCAUCCAUAUCUGAAAUGAGCUUUAAGUGCAUGUCGAGCAGCUAUAAAGGAUUGAAUCUGGCCGCUCGAACAUCUAAAUGGGUGGAGAUAUGCGACCGACUAUACAAGGAUUAGUUGGCUAUCAGCAGCAAUAGUGCAUAGAGUCGUAGAGUCCAUAUGAUCGCACAUCAUAUACAGUAGCUUGAACAGUUGGUCGAGGACUUCAGUCAUAUAGUUGUAUGCACUUUGAUAUUGCUGCUUGAGGUGUAAAGUUUGUCAUGGAACUCCAGCUAUGUUUAUCCUUUGAAUUGUUUCAUUUUGUGGACAAUCAUGGCAAUACUUUAAUCGCAUAGUUUGGAUAUUUAGGUUAGACAUUGGUAGGGGCACUUGCUCCGUGUAACUGAAGCUUGCUACUUGCAGAAUCAUCAUAGAAAGGUUUCUGAAACAAAUAUCCUCUCCAAAGGUUGUGGUUUUGCAAGGGAUAUCGUUUAACAACUUCUAUUGCUCUUUGUCAAUGUAACUUGGAGCUAUUUGUUUACGUUUGUAUGAAACAUUUGUUCUGUAAGGUGAAUUAUGCUAUAUGUGUGCUUGGAAGGAUUGUUGUAUAUCCCUCACAGAUGUUCAUUUGUCAGUAAAUUUUCAUUUGGCAA